UCAAAUUUGUGGUUUCUUGGUCA
rnacentral:siRNA from 1 species